UCCAGCUUUACCCGUUAGCAAGUCUGGUUUGCAGAAAUGCUCAGAAGUCCCAGGUGAGAUCGAAGUACCUUGUCCUGGUGACUUCUCACGCGUUCCUGUACUCAUGAAUGUUCAGGUGACUGCAGAGCAACUCAAUACGUGUGAUCUAGAGUUUUACAUAAAAGACACAAGAAAAGCCUGCUGUUUUACACGCUGUCACAACGAACAAAGGGAGUACUCAGAAGCCGAGUGGAUUUUGCUUUGCAUUUUUUGAUUCACUAAAAAAACCAGCUGCAAAUCUCUGCUGGAAUGAACCAGCGCCACUCACACAGCUCCAGGACCCGGACCCAAAGAGCCAUCGCCAUCAUGAGGCAGAUCCAGCCCUGCUGUCCUUCCUGCCUGACUUCAUAAACCAGAAAGCCUGAACAACGAAUGCGCGUUCUUUUGGUUACCCUCAUGAUCUGCCAGGCUGCACUUAGUGUUUUUCAUGUCCUUCUCCCCUUCCCAGAAACACAGGGUUAAUGCCUGCUCCAGAAUGCACUUGAAUGCCAAGCCUGAGACUUGCUUAACCCCAUGGGGAGAAAGUUCUGCAGAAAUACGGUGUGUCUCACUCCUGGGUUAUGUCGUUUCAAUCCAGAAUCACCAUGCUCUCCACUGAAAGAACUGUGGAAAAAAGGUCAGCAAAAGUAGCCCUUCUCCCUGGCAAAUCAGGCUGGCAGCAGGAAUACAGGAGCUAACUGCAGGGCACGUUUCUCAUCAGUGGUGACACGGACCAGAAGAGAACCUCACACCCAAUAUGUGAAGCUUAUUAAACACAUAAUUUUUGUUUUGGGGGGAUGUUUUUAAUGGCUCAUACUGCACCUCGGCGAAAGAGAUUUUCUCGCACCGAGCAGCUGGGCGCGUGCCCAAGUGGAAGCAGAGCGCUGCCUGCUGCUGUUUGGUUUGCAGCACAGCAAAUACACGGUGUUUUAACGCAUUUGCAGAACUAAGCAUGAUCCUAGUCCCUGUACCUCUGUCCACACCUGACAAGCUGAACACUGCCAAAACACAGGUGCGAGAACUGAUCCAUGUGCAUCUCGGUGACCACCUGCGUUGUCUCAGGACAGCUAGCGGACAGCCUGAGGGGGACAGAGGCUGGCGCAGAGCCCAGCCCAGGACGGGGUGGCAGGCCAGCCUGGGAGAGCAGACACAGCGCUUCCCAACGAAGCAAGGAGGCAAACUUGAGAAGCUAAAGGUGGAAAUCCCAACGCUCGAGGACUGCCAGGCCAAGGCAGUCAAUGGGGAGGAAAGUUGUUACCGCUGAGGACCAGAGAUUUCACAGGACACCUGAACUCACAGCUC
rnacentral:lncRNA from 1 species